rnacentral:miRNA from 1 species
UAUGACACAUAUGCGUAGUUGGA